rnacentral:rRNA from 1 species
AGUCACUGACAUUAGAUACCCCUGUAGUCCCAGCCGUAAACUAUGCGCGUUAGGUGUGUCGGUAACCACGCGUUACUGAUGCGCCGAAGAGAAAUCGUGAAACGCACCACCUGGGAAGUACGGUCGCAAGGCUGAAACUUAAAGGAAUUGGCGGGGAGCACCACAACAGGUGGAGCCUGCGGUUUAAUUGGAUUCAACGCCGGACAUCUCACCGGAUAAGACAGCUGAAUGAUUGUCAAUCUGAAGGUUUUACAUGACUAGCUG